CAAGGCUUGACAUACACCGGAAACGGCCAGAGAUGGUCGCCCCCUUGUGGUCGGUGUACAGGUGGUGCAUGGUUGUCGUCAGCUCGUGUCGUGAGAUGUUGGGUUAAGUCCCGCAACGAGCGCAACCCUUGUUCUGUGUUGCCAGCAUGCCUUUCGGGGUGAUGGGGACUCACAGGAGACUGCCGGGGUCAACUCGGAGGAAGGUGGGGACGACGUCAAAUCAUCAUGCCCCUUAUGUCUUGGGCUGCACACGUGCUACAAUGGUCGGUACAAAGGGCUGCGAUGCCGCGAGGCGGAGCGAAUCCCAAAAAGCCGGCCUCAGUUCGGAUUGGGGUCUGCAACUCGACCCCAUGAAGUUGGAGUUGCUAGUAAUCGCAGAUCAGCAUGCUGCGGUGAAUA
rnacentral:rRNA from 1 species